UAUUUUAUUUUAUUUUAUUUUUUACAGUUUAUGAUUUUUCGUGAGUUUCACGGUCACUGUAGGUUCUCCUAAAGGCUUGAAAGGGGAGUGUAAGGGUAGGAGUAUCCACUCACCGCUAUAUCCUACUAAAUCUUACACUGGCCCUUUAAACAAAUUUGAACUUUCGGCGCCCUCCCGCGACGCACCGCGCCGAAGCGACGCAACAAACCGCAUAUACAAUUUUGGAGAAAGCGCACAAGCUGUUUCUCCUCGAAAAUGUAAAUACGCCUGAAGAAAUGUUAAACAAGAAAACAAAACAAUGGGACUUCUCCUCCGAAAAAGGCCUCAGGAGAAGAAACUGAAAUGACAUGUGACUAUUAGCCUCAAAACAAACAAAACGUUUUGCUAACGAUGUGAUAGCAUCGACUAGUGGAGAAGAGGAGUGCUAGCAACAAACAAAAUGACCAUCACAACUUUACCUGCAGUGGGAUAUUAUAUGACAUGGAGACCUGGACAUCGACUUUUGGACAUGGAAAAAGGAUAAGGGGCCUUCGACGUCAAAUAACCUGCAUCAGGCAGGUAAAGCGGCUGGGUUAAAGCUGAGCAGGCACGCGAGGCAGGCCGGAUGAAGAGCAUACAAGCAUUUAUCGUCGGUAGGGGGGAAAGGUCGGUGGCUGUUAUCAGAGCACUGCUGUGACAAGGCACGAGCUCAACCCUGGAUUGAUGCACCCUGGCAGCCCCCUGUGUACUUGCUCUGAGGGAGAAGGGGGACGGCAGAGAGAACAGAAGAAAAGAGAGAGAGAGAGCGCAUGAGGGAAUCUAGAGUGAAGAGGAAAUGAUUUUCUGAUUUUCUACACAGGCUUUGUGGUCCUGGAAGGCUGUUUAUGUUUUUAAGUCCAUUGGUGAGAACAAGAGGAGAGGAGAUUGUGCUAUCCACUGCCUGAGGGCUAUGCUGAGCCUAUAUAUUUAAGCCCCCACUGUUCCUUGCUUAACAAUAACGCCUACUAGUUUUAAUUUAAUUCAGUCAUUUUAAACUAAAUAAUCCACUUUCAUUUUCUAUGUCACAGCUGGAAAAAUAAAUCUAAUCUUAUCGCAUAGCAGACUGGGUGUGAGGUUUGACACUUCAGUUCUACUUUCCUUUUUCUUUCUUCUUUCAUCAUCAAGGCCAUGUGUGAGAAAGAACAAUAGAUACAGAGUGUGUGUGUGUGUGUGUGUGUUUGUAUGAGAGAGUGUAUGUGUGUGUAGUUUAUGAAAGGGCAGGAAGGGCAAGGAGACAAUGCAUGGCAACUUUGACUUUGUCCCUGUUUGUGGUGUUUCAUAGCAUUUUUUAACAUGUGAAACUGUGUUUGUGUUAUGUGAUGGGAAGAUAGGUGAACUGAGAUAACAUGACAUAAAAGUUAAACACACAAUUCACAUAGUGAAUAAAGAGUAAUGCGGACGGGCAAAACUAGUUGAGGAAUCUGAGAGAAAAAAAGGAAAAGUAAGAAAGAAGAAAAAUAACGGUGUUGUUUGAGCAGUGAGGCUACUAGCCAGCUGGCCUGUGGCCACUGCAAUUGUGUUGCGCUUCCUAAACAUCUUACAGCCCAGACACUACUACUAACACCAGAGCACAACUCACCACCUUUUUACAGAGGACAUUUACAUCAGAUUUCAGUAUUGGUUCAAUAUGUAACCAGUGCAUAUGUCUUUGUAUUGUAUGUGCAUGUGUUUUCCUACUUUGACUUCAGACAUCAUCACCACAGGCAUGUGGCAUGUUAACUAACUGCUGCUUAAAAUGUUCUGCCAUAUACAGUGUAUCACUUGUUUUAUAGAAUCUGACUUGGGUGUAAAUGGAUUUAAUAA